UUUCUUGUACAUUUGUUGUUUCAGGUGGGAAUAACUGCUUCUUGGGCUUUGGCAAACAUAUGUGAUUCUAUCUGGCACUGUAUUGAUACUCUUUCUUUGGAAGGCUCCACAGACUAUACUGCAGUCUCUGAAUCAGUGGCAUUACUAACUGAUUGUGCUUUACGUCUAUCAAAUGAUGGAGACAAGGCUCAUGAGGCAGCAACACGUGAAGCAGAGAAAGAGUUGCUGCUCUUGUUAGGAUUCGACAAGAUAAAGCCUCGCCUCAUGGCACUGAACUUGAAUAAGGACCUAAUGUAACAUAGAACUUUGAUGAUGUACUUGUUCCAGCCUAUCAUGUGAGUCGAAGUUAUACUAUAACAUCAAGGAUCUCAUUGUAAUGCUCAGUUAUCAACUUCUUGACCACUGGUUGUGGAUCGAAUUGGCAAGGAGCAUUGCAAAGUUAAUUAACUUGAUUAUUAAUUGCAAGAGAUUCAACAAGUGAAGUGCAAAAGAAAAUCUGAUUUGGACGGCUUUGGUGUGCUGACAUUUUGAAGAUCAUGAAUUCCUACCUUUACUUUUGAAUAUGCAACUGUUUAAGACUAUUUUGUUGAUUAUUGUGAGAAUUAUUUGUUUAUGUUAAUUAGGCAGUGUUGAAUAUCUUAAGACUUUUGGAUUGUUUUUUAGAUAAUCUUGAAUGUAUUUUGACACAAUUAUUUAGUUAUAUGUGUUAUGAACCAUAUAAUUGGUACUCAAAAAUAUAUUUGUACAAUGUUAAGGGUGUCUUAAGUAUAUUAAAUGAAACGA